GGAACAGCUAGGUGGCUCAGUGGAAGGAGCACUGGGUUUGCAAUAAGGAAAACUCAUGUUCAUGAGUUCCAAUCUGGCCUCAGACACUUAUUAGCCAGAGAAGAAAAUGAUAAACCAAAAUAUCUUUCCCAAGAAAACCCUUAAAGGCUUCAUGAAGAGUCCAACACAUCAGAAGCUGCAACCUGAAGUAGAGUUGGAAUUAUUCAUUUUUCUCUCUUGAAGCUAGAAGCCAGAAGACUACCAAAAAGAGUGAAAAGACUGAAGAAAGUGGAUUUCUCUUCUUUCCUGCUUCUUGCUAACUCUGACCGAAUCCUUAUGGAGAUACGAGACAUUCAUCUCCACCAAAGAGGAAAUUUCCUGAUCUGUAACAUGAGCUGGAGAAGGAAAUGGCAAAUCAUGAUACUAUUUGUGCCAAGAAAACUCUGAAUGGAGUCACAGAAAGUCAGACAGGACUGAAAUGACUGAUCAUAGUCACCUCUGCACUUAACAUAUCAUCUUGACCACAGGGACAAGGAGAGGAAGAG
rnacentral:lncRNA from 1 species